AUACGGAAGGUCCGGGCGUUAUCCGGAUUUAUUGGGUUUAAAGGGAGCGCAGGCGGAGAUGCAAGCGUGACGUCAAAUUUCGGGGCUCAACCCCGUCUCGCGUCGCGAACUGCGUCCCUUGGUUGCGGGAAGGGGAGGCGGAACUCGUGGUGUAGCGGUGAAAUGCAUAGAUAUCAUGAAGAACUCCGAUUGCGAAGGCAGUCCGCUGGGGCACGUCUGACGCUGAUGCUCGAAGGUGCGGGAAUCAAACAGGAUUAGAUACCCUGGUAGUCCGCACGGUAAACGAUGAUUACCCGCUGUCGGCGGCAGACAGUCGGCGGCCAAGCGAAAGCGAUAAGUAAUCCACCUGGGGAGUACGCCGGCAACGGUGAAACUCAAAUGAAUUGACGGGG
rnacentral:rRNA from 1 species